rnacentral:rRNA from 1 species
GGGCAAAUUGACACCGUAACUUCGGAAGAAGGUGUGCCUUUAGUAGGUGAACCCGUACAGGGGGAGCCCAAUGAGGUUGCAAAGAAUCGGUGGCUGCGACUGUUUAAUAAAAACACAGCACUCUGCAAACACGAAAGUGGACGUAUAGGGUGUGACGCCUGCCCGGUGCUGGAAGAUUAAGUGAUGGGGUGCAAGCUCUUGAUCGAAGUCCCAGUAAACGGCGGCCGUAACGAUAACGGUCCUAAGGUAGCGAAAUUCCUUGUCGGGUAAGUUCCGACCUGCACGAAUGGCGUAACGAUGGCCACACUGUCUCCUCCCGAGACUCAGCGAAGUUGAAAUGUUUGUGAUGAUGCAAUCUCCCCGCGGAAAGACGGAAAGACCCCAUGAACCUUUACUGUAGCUUUGUAUUGGACUUUGAACGGAUCUGUGUAGGAUAGGUGGGAGGCUUUGAAGCAGGGUCGCUAGAUCUUGUGGAGCCAACGUUGAAAUACCACCCUGGUGCGUUUGAGGUUCUAACCUAGGCCCGUUAUCCGGGUCGGGGACAGUGCAUGGUAGGCAGUUUGACUGGGGCGGUCUCCUCCCAAAGCGUAACGGAGGAGUUCGAAGGUACGCUAGUUACGGUCGGACAUCGUGACGAUAGUGCAAUGGCAUAAGCGUGCUUAACUGCGAGACUGACAAGUCGAGCAGAUGCGAAAGCAGGACAUAGUGAUCCGGUGGUUCUGUAUGGAAGGGCCAUCGCUCAACGGAUAAAAGGUACUCUGGGGAUAACAGGCUGAUACCGCCCAAGAGUUCAUAUCGACGGCGGUGUUUGGCACCUCGAUGUCGGCUCAUCUCAUCCUGGGGCUGUAGCCGGUCCCAAGGGUAUGGCUGUUCGCCAUUUAAAGAGGUACGUGAGCUGGGUUUAAAACGUCGUGAGACAGUUUGGUCCCUAUCUUCCGUGGGCGCUGCAGAUUUGAGGAAGCCUGCUCCUAGUACGAGAGGACCGGAGUGGACGCACCUCUGGUGUACCUGUUGUCACGCCAGUGGCAUUGCAGGGUAGCUAAGUGCGGAAGAGAUAACCGCUGAAAGCAUCUAAGCGGGAAACUCGUUUCAAGAUGAGAUCUGCCGGGGCCUUGAGCCCCCUGAAGAGUCGUUCUAGACCAGGACGUUGAUAGGCUGGGUGUGGAAGCGCAGUAAUGCGUUAAGCUAACCAGUACUAAUUGCUCGUGCGGCUUGACCGU